rnacentral:rRNA from 1 species
UACGAAGGGGGCUAGCGUUGUUCGGAAUCACUGGGCGUAAAGGGCGCGUAGGCGGCCGAUCAAGUCGGGGGUGAAAGCCUGUGGCUCAACCACAGAAUUGCCUUCGAUACUGUUUGGCUUGAGACCGGAAGAGGUUAGUGGAACUGCGAGUGUAGAGGUGAAAUUCGUAGAUAUUCGCAAGAACACCAGUGGCGAAGGCGGCUGACUGGUCCGGUUUCUGACGCUGAGGCGGCGAAAAGCGUGGGGAGCAAACAGG